rnacentral:rRNA from 1 species
AUUGAACGCUGGCGGCAGGCCUAACACAUGCAAGUCGAACGAGUGGCGGACGGGUGAGUAAUGUCUGGGAAACUGCCCGAUGGAGGGGGAUAACUACUGGAAACGGUAGCUAAUACCGCAUACCAUCAGAUGUGCCCAGAUGGGAUUAGCUAGUAGGUGGGGUAACGGCUCACCUAGGCGACGAUCCCUAGCUGGUCUGAGAGGCGGACAGGCCACCCUGGAACUGAGCCACGGCCCAUACUCCUACGGGAUGCAGCGGUGGGGAAUAUGCCACAAUGGGCGCAACCCUGAUGCAGCCAUCCCGCGUGUAUGAGACGGGCCUUCGGGUUGUAAAGUACUUUCAGCGAGGAGGCGUUACUCGCAGAAGAAGCACCGGCUAACUCCGUGCCAGCAGCCGCGGUAAUUC